GAUGAACGCUGGCGGCGUGCCUAAUACAUGCAAGUCGAGCGACCGGACGAGAAUCUUGCUUCUCUGAUGUUAGCGGCGGACGGGUGAGUAACACGUGGAUAACCUACCUAUAAGACUGGGAUAACUUCGGGAAACCGGAGCUAAUACCCGAUGAUAUUUUGAACCGCAUGGUUCAACAGUGAAAGACGUUCUUGCUGUCACUUAUAGAUGGAUCCGCGCUGCAUUAGCUAGUUGGUAAGGUAACGGCUUACCAAGGCAACGAUGCGUAGCCGACCUGAGAGGGUGAUCGGCCACACUGGAACUGAGACACGGUCCAGACUCCUACGGGAGGCAGCAGUAGGGAAUCUUGCGCAAUGGGCGAAAGCCUGACGGAGCAACGCCGCGUGAGUGAUGAAGGUCUUCGGAUCGUAAAACUCUGUUAGUAGGGAAGAACAGAUGUGUAAGUAACUGUGCACAUCUUGACGGUACCUAAUCAGAAAGCCACGGCUAACUACGUG
rnacentral:rRNA from 1 species